UUGACCUCAGAUCAGGUAGGACUACCCGCUGAACUUAAGCAUAUCAAUAAGCGGAGGAAAAGAAACUAACAAGGAUUCCCCUAGUAACUGCGAGUGAAGCGGGAAAAGCUCAAAUUUGAAAUCUGGCAGUUCUUUUGACUGUCCGAGUUGUAAUCUAGAGAAGUGUUACCUGUGCUGGACCAUGUACAAGUCUUCUGGAAUGGAGCAUCAUAGAGGGUGAGAAUCCCGUCUUUGACAUGGACUACCAGUGCACUGUGGUGCGCUCUCAAAGAGUCGAGUUGUUUGGGAAUGCAGCUCAAAAUGGGUGGUAAAUGCCAUCUAAAGCUAAAUAUUGGCGAGAGACCGAUAGUGAACAAGUACCGUGAGGGAAAGAUGAAAAGAACUUUGGAAAGAGAGUUAAACAGUACGUGAAAUUGCUGAAAGGGAAACGCUUGAAGUCAGUCACGUUGGCUAGAAAUCAGCCUUGCUUUUGCUUGGUGUACUUUCUGGUUUGACGGGUCAGCAUCGAUUUCUUUGACCAUUGGAUAAAGUCUCUGGGAAUGUGGCAUCUUUGGAUGUGUUAUAGCCCAUUGUCGCAUACAAUGGUUGGGAUCGAGGAACUCAGCACGCCGCAAGGCCAGGUUUAAACCAUGUUCGUGCUUAGGAUGCUGGCAUAAUGGCUUUAAUCGACCCGUC
rnacentral:rRNA from 1 species